CCCGCUGAACUUAAGCAUAUCAAUAAGCGGAGGAAAAGAAACUAACAAGGAUUCCCCUAGUAACUGCGAGUGAAGCGGGAAAAGCUCAAAUUUAAAAUCUGGUGGCCUCUGGUCAUCCGAGUUGUAAUUUAGAGAAGCGUCUUCCGCGCUGGACCAUGCACAAGUCUCCUGGAAUGGAGCGUCAUAGAGGGUGAGAAUCCCGUCUUUGGCAUGGAUGCACCAGGGCUUCUGUGAUGCGCUCUCAAAGAGUCGAGUUGUUUGGGAAUGCAGCUCAAAAUGGGUGGUGAACUCCAUCUAAAGCUAAAUAUUGGCGAGAGACCGAUAGCGAACAAGUACCGUGAGGGAAAGAUGAAAAGCACUUUGGAAAGAGAGUGAAACAGUACGUGAAAUUGUUGAAAGGGAAACGCUUGAAGUCAGAUAUAUUCUUGCGGAGAUCAACUUGACAUGUAUUGUUGAGUGCAUUCUCUGUUUGAGAUGGGUCAGCAUCAAUUUUGACUGCUGCAUAAAGAUCUUGGGAAAGUGACAUCCCCCUUGGGGGAUGUGUUAUAGACCAGGGUUUCUGAUACAGUGGUUGGGAUUGAGGAACUCAGCAUGGCCUUUUGGGUAGUGGGGCUUUGCCUACACUUUUGCAUGCUUAGGAUGCUGGCAUAAUGGCUUUAAUCGACCCGUCUUGAAACACGG
rnacentral:rRNA from 1 species